GUUGCUGUAGUUUAAAGAAAACGUGAGUUUUGUAAACUUAAGAUAGCUUUAAAGUUGGCUUUGCGACA
rnacentral:tRNA from 1 species